rnacentral:lncRNA from 1 species
CGAGGUUAAUAGUGCAGGGUUGAGACCAAUGUUUUUUGCUGCAAACUGCAAAAGCUGUGCUUGAACCUGAGGGGAUAGAAACUGAGGCACUUGAGCACGAAGACUAGGCUGGGAUGAAUUAAGAGGUUGCACUGGCGGUUGCUGCGGCUGUUGCAUGGUCCUGGCUUGUGCUGCUCCGCUAUUGCCAAACAUACCCAGAUUGCCACUCGGUAUCUUGUCAAGGAAGGUGGGGCGGUCCAUGGAAGACUCUUUGGAGAUUGGUGGUGGGCGGCAGCCAAGGGGUUUGGUGACCAUUCCAUUAUAGUCGGUCACUCCCAUUCCACGCUUGUCCAUUUCCACCUUCUUUUCCAGCAGAGCACUCAUGGCCUGAUCGAGAUUCAUAUUGUUGCUCUUCAAGGCCUCUUCCGCUGGUUCUCUAGGGAAGCCCAUAUCUGUGAGCUGUUUUAUCAGGCGGUUCAUGAUCCAGGCCUCAUCUUGCUUGCUAGAUGUCUUCAUGCCCUUCUGAAGUCCUUUCUUUGGGGCGUUCCCCCAGGAAUUACAGGAGGAGCUGCUUUCUUGUGAAGCAGUAUUAUUCCACAUAUCUCCUUCUUCAUCUUCCCACUGACUAGUACUGAGAUUCACUUCAUCCC